rnacentral:ncRNA from 2 species
CCGCACGCGUCGGGAGAGCGCGCCGUCCGCUGUCGUUUUCAGAACGCCCAGCAGCCAGCGCCGCCGAAGGGGCACACCCGCAAACUCUCAGGCAAAAGGACCGACCGCGUCGAA